rnacentral:rRNA from 1 species
GAUGAACGCUAGCGGCAGGCUUAACACAUGCAAGUCGAGGGGUAGGGAAAGCUUGCUUUUCUGAGACCGGCGCACGGGUGCGUAACGCGUAUGCAAUCUACCUUUCACAGAGGGAUAGCCCAGAGAAAUUUGGAUUAAUACCUCAUAGUAUUAUAGAAUGGCAUCAUUUUAUAAUUAAAGAUUUAUCGGUGAAAGAUGAGCAUGCGUCCCAUUAGCUAGUUGGUAUGGUUACGGCAUACCAAGGCAACGAUGGGUAGGGGUCCUGAGAGGGAGAUCCCCCACACUGGUACUGAGACACGGACCAGACUCCUACGGGAGGCAGCAGUGAGGAAUAUUGGACAAUGGGCGCAAGCCUGAUCCAGCCAUGCCGCGUGCAGGAUGACGGUCCUAUGGAUUGUAAACUGCUUUUAUACAGGAAGAAACACCUCUACGUGUAGAGACUUGACGGUACUGUAAGAAUAAGGAUCGGCUAACUCCGUGCCAGCAGCCGCGGUAAUACGGAGGAUCCAAGCGUUAUCCGGAAUCAUUGGGUUUAAAGGGUCCGUAGGCGGUCAGGUAAGUCAGUGGUGAAAGCCCAUCGCUCAACGGUGGAACGGCCAUUGAUACUGUCUGACUUGAAUUAUUAGGAAGUAACUAGAAUAUGUAGUGUAGCGGUGAAAUGCUUAGAGAUUACAUGGAAUACCAAUUGCGAAGGCAGGUUACUACUAAUUGAUUGACGCUGAUGGACGAAAGCGUGGGUAGCGAACAGGAUUAGAUACCCUGGUAGUCCACGCCGUAAACGAUGGAUACUAGCUGUUGGGAGCAAUCUCAGUGGCUAAGCGAAAGUGAUAAGUAUCCCACCUGGGGAGUACGAACGCAAGUUUGAAACUCAAAGGAAUUGACGGGGGCCCGCACAAGCGGUGGAGCAUGUGGUUUAAUUCGAUGAUACGCGAGGAACCUUACCAAGGCUUAAAUGUAGAUUGACCGGUUGGAAACAG